CAGGCAUGAGCCACUGCACCCAUGCUCUUUUUAAAUACUACAAACUAUGAGGAAAAUACAAGAGGAAAUCCCAAGAUGAAUUUUUUCAAUUUUCUUUCUUUUAAUUUCUUUGUUCGAAAAUAAAAUUAGUGUUAAAGCCUCU